AGAGUUUGAUCAUGGCUCAGGACGAACGCUGGCGGCGUGCUUAACACAUGCAAGUCGAACGGAAAGGCCCUGCUUUUGUGGGGUGCUCGAGUGGCGAACGGGUGAGUAACACGUGAGUAACCUGCCCUUGACUUUGGGAUAACUUCAGGAAACUGGGGCUAAUACCGGAUAGGAGCUCCUGCUGCAUGGUGGGGGUUGGAAAGUUUCGGCGGUUGGGGAUGGACUCGCGGCUUAUCAGCUUGUUGGUGGGGUAGUGGCUUACCAAGGCUUUGACGGGUAGCCGGCCUGAGAGGGUGACCGGCCACAUUGGGACUGAGAUACGGCCCAGACUCCUACGGGAGGCAGCAGUGGGGAAUAUUGCACAAUGGGCGGAAGCCUGAUGCAGCAACGCCGCGUGCGGGAUGACGGCCUUCGGGUUGUAAACCGCUUUCGCCUGUGACGAAGCGUGAGUGACGGUAAUGGGUAAAGAAGCACCGGCUAACUACGUGCCAGCAGCCGCGGUGAUACGUAGGGUGCGAGCGUUGUCCGGAUUUAUUGGGCGUAAAGGGCUCGUAGGUGGUUGAUCGCGUCGGAAGUGUAAUCUUGGGGCUUAACCCUGAGCGUGCUUUCGAUACGGGUUGACUUGAGGAAGGUAGGGGAGAAUGGAAUUCCUGGUGGAGCGGUGGAAUGCGCAGAUAUCAGGAGGAACACCAGUGGCGAAGGCGGUUCUCUGGGCCUUUCCUGACGCUGAGGAGCGAAAGCGUGGGGAGCGAACAGGCUUAGAUACCCUGGUAGUCCACGCUGUAAACGGUGGGUACUAGGUGUGGGGUCCAUUCCACGGGUUCCGUGCCGUAGCUAACGCUUUAAGUACCCCGCCUGGGGAGUACGGCCGCAAGGCUAAAACUCAAAGGAAUUGACGGGGCCCCGCACAAGCGGCGGAGCAUGCGGAUUAAUUCGAUGCAACGCGUAGAACCUUACCUGGGUUUGACAUGGAUCGGGAGUGCUCAGAGAUGGGUGUGCCUCUUUUGGGGUCGGUUCACAGGUGGUGCAUGGCUGUCGUCAGCUCGUGUCGUGAGAUGUUGGGUUAAGUCCCGCAACGAGCGCAACCCUUGUUCACUGUUGCCAGCACGUUAUGGUGGGGACUCAGUGGAGACCGCCGGGGUCAACUCGGAGGAAGGUGGGGAUGACGUCAAGUCAUCAUGCCCCUUAUGUCCAGGGCUUCACGCAUGCUACAAUGGCUGGUACAGAGAGUGGCGAGCCUGUGAGGGUGAGCGAAUCUCGGAAAGCCGGUCUCAGUUCGGAUUGGGGUCUGCAACUCGACCUCAUGAAGUCGGAGUCGCUAGUAAUCGCAGAUCAGCAACGCUGCGGUGAAUACGUUCCCGGGGCUUGUACACACCGCCCGUCAAGUCAUGAAAGUUGGUAACACCCGAAGCCGGUGGCCUAACCGUUGUGGGGGAGCCGUCGAAGGUGGGACUGGUGAUUAGGACUAAGUCGUAACAAGGUAACC
rnacentral:rRNA from 1 species